UGGGGAAUCUUGGACAAUGGGCGCAAGCCUGAUCCAGCCAUGCCGCGUGAGUGAAGAAGGCCUUAGGGUUGUAAAGCUCUUUUGGCAGGGACGAUAAUGACGGUACCUGCAGAAUAAGCCCCGGCAAACCUCGUGCCAGCAGCCGCGGUAAUAAGAAGGGGGCUAGCGUUGUUCGGAUUUACUGGGCGUAAAGCGCACGUAGGCGGAUUGUUAAGUCAGGGGUGAAAUCCCGGGGCUCAACUCCGGAACUGCCUUUGAUACUGGCAAUCUUGAGGCUGGAAGAGGUUGGUAGAAUUCCCAGUGUAGAGGUGAAAUUCGUAGAUAUUGGGAAGAAUACCAGUGGCGAAGGCGGCCAACUGGUCCAGAUCUGACGCUGAGGUGCGAAAGCGUGGGGAGCAAACA
rnacentral:rRNA from 1 species